UACGAAGGGGGGCUAGCGUUGCUCGGAAUCACUGGGCGUAAAGCGCACGUAGGCGGAUUGCUAAGUCAGGGGUGAAAUCCUGGAGCUCAACUCCAGAACUGCCUUUGAUACUGGCGAUCUUGAGUUCGGGAGAGGUGAGUGGAACUGCGAGUGUAGAGGUGAAAUUCGUAGAUAUUCGCAAGAACACCAGUGGCGAAGGCGGCUCACUGGCCCGAUACUGACGCUGAGGCACGAAAGCGUGGGGAGCAAACAGG
rnacentral:rRNA from 1 species